AUUGAACGCUGGCGGAAUGCUUUACACAUGCAAGUCGAACGGCAGCACGGACUUCGGUCUGGUGGCGAGUGGCGAACGGGUGAGUAAUGUAUCGGAACGUGCCCAGUCGUGGGGGAUAACGUAGUGAAAAUUACGCUAAUACCGCAUACGAUCUAUGGAUGAAAGCGGGGGAUCGCAAGACCUCGCGCGAUUGGAGCGGCCGAUAUCAGAUUGGGUAGUUGGUGGGGUGAAGGCCCACAAAGCCAACGAUCUGUAGCUGGUCUGAGAGGACGACCAGCCACACUGGAACGGAGACACGGUCCAGACUCCUACGGGAGGCAGCAGUGGGGAAUUUUGGACAAGGGGCGAAAGCCUGAUCCAGCCAUUCCGCGUGCAGGAUGAAGGCCCUCGGGUUGUAAACUGCUUUUGUACAGAACGAAAAGGUUUCUACUAAUACUAGGAGCUCAUGACGGUACUGUAAGAAUAAGCACCGGCUAACUACGUGCCAGCCGCCGCAGUAA
rnacentral:rRNA from 1 species